rnacentral:rRNA from 1 species
AGCAGUAGCCGCGGUAAUACGUAGGUGGCAAGCGUUGUCCGGAAUUAUUGGGCGUAAAGGGCUCGCAGGCGGUUUCUUAAGUCUGAUGUGAAAGCCCCCGGCUCAACCGGGGAGGGUCAUUGGAAACUGGGAAACUUGAGUGCAGAAGAGGAGAGUGGAAUUCCACGUGUAGCGGUGAAAUGCGUAGAGAUGUGGAGGAACACCAGUGGCGAAGGCGACUCUCUGGUCUGUAACUGACGCUGAGGAGCGAAAGCGUGGGGAGCAAACAGGAUUAGAUACCCCAGUAGUCCCUGUCUCUUAUAC